rnacentral:tRNA from 1 species
CAUCAAGAAGCUUUUAUAGCAUUAGCCUUUUAAGCUAAAGAAGAAACAAAAUUUCCUUGAUGA